CCUACGGGCGGCAGCAGUGAGGAAUAUUGGUCAAUGGGCGAGAGCCUGAACCAGCCAAGUCGCGUGAGGGAGUACUGCCCUAUGGGUUGUAAACCUCUUUUGUCGGGGAGCAAAAGCCGGACGUGUCCGGCUGUGAGAGUACCCGAAGAAAAAGCAUCGGCUAACUCCGUGCCAGCAGCCGCGGUAAAACGGAGGAUGCGAGCGUUAUCCGGAUUUAUUGGGUUUAAAGGGUGCGCAGGCGGGUUUUUAAGUCAGCGGUAAAAUCGUGGGGCUCAACCCCAUCCAGCCGUUGAAACUGGGGAUCUAGAGUGUGCGAGAGGUAUGCGGAAUGCGUGGUGUAGCGGUGAAAUGCAUAGAUAUCACGCAGAACCCCGAUUGCGAAGGCAGCAUACCGGUGCACAACUGACGCUCAGGCACGAAAGCGUGGGUAUCGAACAGGAUUAGAUACCCUUGUAGUC
rnacentral:rRNA from 1 species